AGCCCGGUAGUGUAGUGGACAAAGAGAUUAACCGUUCAAGCAUAGCGGGCUUUGGACCCGUAGACGGGAGUUCGAAUCUCCCCCGGGCUACCA
rnacentral:tRNA from 1 species